CCACGUGAGAAGUGCCUUUCGCCUCCCGCCAUGAUUCUGAGGCCUCCCUAGCCAUGGGGACCUGUCUUCUUUCUGAAACCAGCCCAACUUUUCUCCCAGAGAGUAUCAUGGAACUGAACUUUCAAGAUCAUGGCAUCUGGACAUCGAGAAAACAGAACCCUCAUCUGGCCACCUGCUGCUUUUUGACCAAUUCCCAUAUAAACCGCUAACUUCAGUCAGUUGGAGGGAUGGAUUUGAGAUUUGCCUUCUGUCUCUCAGGUGAUGUCACCAGCAAUAAAGCCUUCUUCCCUGGC
rnacentral:lncRNA from 10 species